ACUCUUCAGGACUUCAAAGAAAAGUGAUCUACCCCUUGGUGACAGCCUGCAAGGAAAUGGGCUGACUGAAGGGCUGUAUUCGAGAAAUGGCUGUGUGGGACCAGGACCUGACCACCACUCACUCCUCAUCAGCCACACAGACUGAGCAUGAUUGCUUCCUGGGAAGGUGGCAAAAGAUGCCAUUGAGGGAAGUGUGCUAUGUCUGGAACAGAAAAAAGGCUUGAGGACCCCUAACCUAACUGAGAUGAAAAGGAAGGAGUCUCCUCUGACCAGAGCAGGUCAUUAAUGACACAAGCACAGGACCUUGAGUGCUGAAUAGAAGUCCCUGGGAACAGGAGUCUGCACAAAGGACUUCUAUUUACUGAAAAAGAUCACUCAAGAAGAUGGAUUUCAAAGAUGAAAGUGAGUCUAGGAUUAAAUGCAGCUGGAGGAGACAAUCUAUCUGCCUACAACUAGAAGUGCCUCCUCCCCCUGAGGCCCCUUAGUCUUCCAUCUUCCCUAUCUUGUGAAACAAAACAUAGUUUAUUUCAGUGAAAUCUCUAUAGGCUUGCAAUAAACUCUGUCUAUAUCUUUGCUCUAA